CUAUUAUUUAAAGUGUUAAAUUAAUAGCUUGAGUAGUAUUAGUUAGGUUCUUAAAACUCAAAGAAUUUGGCGGUGUUUUAGUCUAUUCAGAGGAAUCUGUCCUGUAAUCGAUAAUUCACGAGUAAUUAGACUUAACUUUGUAAGUUCAGCUUGUAUAUCGCCGUCAUCAGAUUAUUUUUGAAGAAUUUAAAUUUUCUAAAAAUUGAUUAGAUUAUAUGUCAGGUCAAGGUGCAGUUUAUAGUUAAGAAGAGAUGGAUUACAAUAAAUUUAUUUAUACGGAUAUUAGUCAUGAAUUAAUUGAAGGUGGAUUUGAUAGUAAUUUUAUUUACUGGUAGUUUGAUGUAGCUCUAGUAC
rnacentral:rRNA from 1 species